UACGUAGGUCGCAAGCGUUGUCCGGAUUUACUGGGCGUAAAGAGCGCGCAGGCGGCUGGCCAAGUCCGAUGUGAAAUCUCCCGGCUUAACCGGGAAACUGCAUCGGAAACUGGUCGGCUUGAAGGUGGGAGAGGGUAGCGGAAUUCCCGGUGUAGUGGUGAAAUGCGUAGAUAUCUGGAGGAACACCGGUGGCGAAGGCGGCAUCCUGGACCAACACUGACGCUGAGGAGCGAAAGCCAGGGGAGCAAACGGG
rnacentral:rRNA from 1 species